rnacentral:rRNA from 1 species
GUGGAUUAGAUACCCUGGUAGUCCACGCCGUAAACGAUGGAUACUAGCUGUUGGGGGCAACUUCAGUGGCUAAGCGAAAGUGAUAAGUAUCCCACCUGGGGAGUACGAACGCAAGUUUGAAACUCAAAGGAAUUGACGGGGGCCCGCACAAGCGGUGGAGCAUGUGGUUUAAUUCGAUGAUACGCGAGGAACCUUACCAAGGCUUAAAUGUAGAUUGACCGUUUUGGAAACAGAACUUUCGCAAGACAAUUUACAAGGUGCUGCACGGUCGUCGCCAACU